rnacentral:rRNA from 1 species
UACGAAGGGGGGCUAGCGUUGCUCGGAAUGACUGGGCGUAAAGGGCGCGUAGGCGGAUGGCACAGUCAGAUGUGAAAUUCCCGGGCUUAACCUGGGGGCUGCAUUUGAUACGUGUGAUCUAGAGUGAGGAAGAGGGUCGUGGAAUUCCCCAGUGUAGAGGUGAAAUUCGUAGAUAUUGGGAAGAACACCGGUGGCGAAGGCGGCGACCUGGUCCUUGACUGACGCUGAGGCGCGAAAGCGUGGGGAGCAAACAGG